GUGUGUAUGUAUGUGUAUGUAUAUAUAUAUAUAGAUAUGCAUACGUACACACACACACACACACACACACACACACACACA
rnacentral:miRNA from 1 species